GAUGAAAGAUAUGGUUUGAAAAUGCCACGUCACUACCGUCCUCCUCCCUAGCACGGAUCAGUCCGCAUUUGUUAUGGAAUAUGUUGAGCAAACCUGGAGAAGCGUCAGCUCAAGAUAUUAUUGUUGUCAUUGCUGUGGAUCUUUACCUGAUACACUGACUUGGUGAGUAAAUGUUUACUCUUAUUCAAACUGAUUUUGUGGCUUCUCUUAGUUUAGCACCAGGUUUAAAAUCUUGUUUUCCAAAACACUUUUAAAAAAGUGUUUUGGAAAUGACAGUCUUCAUUACAAAGCUUUCUUCGUUAUGAAUUAGCAUACAUGUUUUUAUUGAACAUUUGAAGAACUAGCAAAAAAAAAAAAAAACUCUUGUAGAGGACAUAAAGUCAGAGAUAGAAAUGACAAGGAGCAGGUGCAUCUAGUACAGGUAGAGCUGCUGCAAAAACCCACAGAGCUCAGCAGCCAGCGCAACAAAUUCUGGAUCCUUUGCUUUUAGUUAGCAUUAGCAGCACAUCCUGCAUCCGAUGUGAAAGGACUUUUAUGCUGCGCACUGUGACUCGCAGCAAUGGUCCCUGGUCAGCCCUGAAUUUGUGUUAAACUAAUCCUAAAGUAAUAAUGGUAUUUCUAACCACUGACAUACCACAACUUUAUCCUUUCAACAGCUGCUGAAAGUAAGGGGACCUAGCUGCUAUCGGAUAUUUAUAUAGAGAUCCUCCAGCUUCAAACUGUAUUACCCUUCAAGGACCUGCAGUUCUAAAAAGUGCAACUCCGACAGCCAAACCCAUCUGUUCUCUGAUUGGAUUGUUACAUUUGUGAUUUACAUGACAUUGACCAAUCAGAUGAAAGGAAGAAAAAUAGGGUCAAAAUUCGUACUAGUAACUUGCAGGGUUUUUUUUGGCUAAGUCCACACACAAAUCUUUUUUACGCGCACGCAAAUCUUUUUUACACACAAAUUCUUUUUACACAUACAAAUCCUGAUUGACAAGUACAAAAUAUUUAUGACCACAUUUUGAGCCCAUACUUGUCGGAGCCUGUGCUUACUUGUAAGCGCGGCAAUGGCGGAGGAGCGCCGCUGAAAAACUUAUUACUUUUUCUGGGUCACAAAAUAAACUUUUAAGAUAUUUUCAGGCGAGAAUGUAGCUGUGUAAAUUUCAAAUAUCUACUCGAUUUAUCAAGACAUCAUAUAUUUGCAAAAAUGCUCCGACGUUUUCAGAGACGUCCAUUUUUUUCAUGCUUUGUGGCAGCUUAAGAACAUCUGUGGCAUCUAUUAAUGUCAAAUCUAGCCUUUAUUUAACAACAUAAGCAAACUCUAUGUUACAAUGAUUGCACAGCCAUUAAGGAUCAAAUCAGUUUCUGAAAAAUGUUCUGUUUUUUCUCCCUCUGCUUGCUUCUUACUGUCUUUGAGGCCGAUCGGGACCAGCACUCCUGCUGUUGGACAGAAAGACAUCAGACAACAGGAGAGAUGAGUCCUCCGUCACAGAUGGUGUGGUCAGUGAAGAUGGUCAUCUGCAGGUUCAAGCUCAUUGCAUCUCCAACCCACAUCCACUGCCACUGUACUUAAGGGAAGUUAAAGACUUUCUUCUGCACCUACAUUUGGAUCACCUCGAUCCAUGACAGUCAUUCAGGCAGUGAUGCCUGGACUGGAAACAAGCAUCCUUAAAAUAAUACAACAUUCCAGCUCAUGUGUUGGAAUGGAAAACAAAUGUGUUGUUUAAAUUAGAGACUGCACUUGUGACAGAACAAUAAAUAUUUUAUUUUGAUUAUAUAAGUAAUGUAAGUACAAAACAAACUUGUUGUAGGCCUAAACUUAUUUUCAGAAUAAUUAAAUCUGAGACUUUGUUUCAUUGUAAGAUUAUAAUUGUUUGUUGUUCAGCAGAACAGUGUCCAGUAUGUUGGCUGUUAUACUUUGUUGUGUUUGAAAAUAAAAGUUGGG
ensembl:lncRNA